GAUGAACGCUAGCGGCGUGCCUAACACAUGCAAGUCGAACGGGGUACCCGAAACGGAGACUUCGGUUGAAGUUUUGGACUACCUAGUGGCGGACGGGUGAGUAACGCGUGAGCAAUCUGCCUCACAGAGGGGGAUAACACAGAGAAAUUUGUGCUAAUACCGCAUAAUGUAGUGAAGAGACAUCUCUUUGCUACCAAAGAUUUAUCGCUGUGAGAUGAGCUCGCGUCUGAUUAGCUAGUUGGUGGGGUAACGGCCUACCAAGGCGACGAUCAGUAGCCGGACUGAGAGGUUGAACGGCCACAUUGGGACUGAGACACGGCCCAGACUCCUACGGGAGGCAGCAGUGGGGGAAUAUUGCGCAAUGGGGGGAAACCCUGACGCAGCAACGCCGCGUGAAGGAAG
rnacentral:rRNA from 1 species